GAUAAGAACGUAGCGAAAUGCGAUAAGUAAUGUGAAUUGCAGAAUUCAGUGAAUCAUCGAAUCUUUGAACGCACAUUGCGCCCGCUAGUAUUCUGGCGGGCAUGCCUGUCCGAGCGUCAUUUCAACCCUCAAGCCCCUCCGGGGGCCUGGCGUUGGGGAUCGGCCCCGCUCCGGCGGCCGGCCCCGAAAUGUAGUGGCGGUCUCGCCGCUGCCUCCUCUGCGUAGUAGAAACACCUCGCAUUGGGACGCGGCGGGCCCACGCCGUUAACCAGAUGAAUUUUUUCAAGGUUGACCUCGGAUCAGGUAGGAAUACCCGCUGAACUUAAGCAUAUCAAUAAGCGGAGGA
rnacentral:misc_RNA from 1 species